AACGAACGCUGGCGGCAUGCCUAACACAUGCAAGUCGAACGGGAUCCUGGCUUCGGCCAGGUGAGAGUGGCGGACGGGUGAGUAACGCGUGGGAACCUGCCCAUUGGUCUGGGAUAACUGCGGGAAACUGCAGCUAAUACCGGAUGUACCCGAGAGGGGAAAGAUUUAUCGCCGAUGGAGGGGCCCGCGUCAGAUUAGGUAGUUGGUGAGGUAACGGCUCACCAAGCCUACGAUCUGUAGCUGGUCUGAGAGGAUGAUCAGCCACACUGGGGCUGAGAUACGGCCCAGACUCCUACGGGAGGCAGCAGUGGGGAAUAUUGGACAAUGGGGGCAACCCUGAUCCAGCAAUGCCGCGUGAGUGAUGAAGGCCUUAGGGUUGUAAAGCUCUUUUACCAGGGACGAUGAUGACGGUACCUGGAGAAUAAGCCCCGGCUAACUUCGUGCCAGCAGCCGCGGUAAU
rnacentral:rRNA from 1 species